rnacentral:rRNA from 1 species
GUAGGUAACCUGCCUUGUAGCGGGGGAUAACUAUUGGAAACGAUAGCUAAUACCGCAUAACAAUGGAUGACACAUGUCAUUUAUUUGAAAGGGGCAAUUGCUCCACUACAAGAUGGACCUGCGUUGUAUUAGCUAGUAGGUGAGGUAAUGGCUCACCUAGGCGACGAUACAUAGCCGACCUGAGAGGGUGAUCGGCCACACUGGGACUGAGACACGGCCCAGACUCCUACGGGAGGCAGCAGUAGGGAAUCUUCGGCAAUGGGGGCAACCCUGACCGAGCAACGCCGCGUGAGUGAAGAAGGUUUUCGGAUCGUAAAGCUCUGUUGUAAGUCAAGAACGGGUGUGAGAGUGGAAAGUUCACACUGUGACGGUAGCUUACCAGAAAGGGACGGCUAACUACGUGCCAGCAGCCGCGGUAAUACGUAGGUCCCGAGCGUUGUCCGGAUUUAUUGGGCGUAAAGCGAGCGCAGGCGGUUCGAUAAGUCUGAAGUUAAAGGCUGUGGCUCAACCAUAGUUCGCUUUGGAAACUGUCAAACUUGAGUGCAGAAGGGGAGAGUGGAAUUCCAUGUGUAGCGGUGAAAUGCGUAGAUAUAUGGAGGAACACCGGUGGCGAAAGCGGCUCUCUGGUCUGUAACUGACGCUGAGGCUCGAAAGCGUGGGGAGCGAACAGGAUUAGAUACCCUGGUAGUCCACGCCGUANACGAUGAGUGCUAGG